GCCUCCGUGAUGUAGUGGCCAGCACACUCGACGCUUAACCCAGAGGUCCGUGGUUCGAUUCCUUGCGAGGGCA
rnacentral:tRNA from 1 species